rnacentral:rRNA from 1 species
UCUUUAAUGGAGAGUUUGAUCCUGGCUCAGGACGAACGCUGGCGGCGUGCCUAAUACAUGCAAGUCGAGCGGGGUUG